GCCAUUACCGGUCCGGGUAACCAAUCCCCCAAUACACACAACGCACCACCGUCACCCCCACUCGGUGGGGCGGAAAGGGACGCAGCGCGGUCCGGCUCUCCAGCCCGGUCAGCGUUCGAUUGGGUGGGGGCGCGGGCCUCGGUGCGGGAACUAAGCUGGGCUGACCCUCCGGCCUGGCUGGGAGGACCGGAGCUGAGCAGCGUCACUGGACAUCUGGAGCUACGACGAGGAAAUUGAGGCAGGCUGCUGAGCCGACUGCUACUUAAGCGGCUAAACUCCAAUUCCUGGGUGCCUGGGUACCACCAGAUGAGGAGACUGAAGGCCAGAAAGGUUAAUUCACUUGCCUAAACUCACAAAGCCAGGCUGAUGGAUGGUCUGAUGCCAGAGUCCAUGCUUUUAAGGACUGUGUCACUCUUUGUCAACCAAGAAAACAUCUGAUUCUGGAAAAGCUUCGAACUCUGUUGAAUAUGAGGAUAAAGUCAUGCAUACCGCAUGACCGACCUGGGUCUCAAGUGCAACCAGACUCAAGAUAAUCAGGCGUUAACUCUGCCUCUUAUUUCCACUGCCACCCUUCAUCAGCAAACAGCAUGACUUCGAGCUCCCCAGAUGCACCAUAUUCACAGGCUUGGUGAAUGCUGUCUCCUCCUCUUGCUCACUAUUUCCAGCACAACUGCUGAAUAAAUGGCUAAAACAGC